AUCAUGUCUCCCCCUCAUGUUAGGAAAACUAACAUGUUUCCUCACCUCUGGGAAAUCAUCUUCGUGCAUUAUCAUGUCAAUAUACACAGCACAUUAAUAAUUAUAAGAUGAAAUUAUUUGGUUCCUGACCCUGAACCACUUAUAAUGGGAGAAUAUAAUAUACUCUCGUAUACAACGUAUAUCAAACUGAUAUAUAUAACUUUGUUCN
rnacentral:lncRNA from 1 species